rnacentral:rRNA from 1 species
UACAGAGGGUGCAAGCGUUGUUCGGAAUUAUUGGGCGUAAAGAGCGUGUAGGCGGCUAGAUAGGUCCGUUGUGAAAACUCGAGGCUCAACCUCGAGACGUCGAUGGAAACCAUCUGGCUAGAGUCCGGAAGAGGAGAGUGGAAUUCCUGGUGUAGCGGUGAAAUGCGCAGAUAUCAGGAAGAACACCCGUGGCGAAGGCGGCUCUCUGGUACGUGACUGACGCUGAGACGCGAAAGCGUGGGGAGCGAACAGG